UCGGGUUUUCUAUCAGCGAAUAUUUCGCUGAAAUUAUUCGUUGUUUAUGAAACCUGCUU
rnacentral:pre_miRNA from 1 species